AAAUAAAGCAGAAAAUUUCAUCCACGAGAUCCCACAUAUAUUAUUAGAGGUUUUCUAUCAUUGACUGUGAGAACUGAGAUUUCUGAUAAGCACACUCAUAAUCAAGUGUAGGUAAGUAUAGAGCAAUUGGAAUGGCCAUAGUCAUAGAUCUCCACAUAAGAAAAUCCAAAAACAAUCUUGGUGGGCACAAUAAGGGUAAUAUACACAAAAAUGAUAGAGUGGAACAAUGAUUAUGGUGAACUUCA
rnacentral:misc_RNA from 1 species